AUGCAUUUUUCUUUUCUUAGGAAACUACACAGAAGCCCCAUGCAAGUGGUGCCUAUUGUUUUCAUGAUCGGAGACUUCUUUCUUCCUGUGAUGAAUUUACUAAGAUGCUUUGGAAUUACUCGACUUUCUUUGGGCUACAGCAGAAAACAACGUUAAGUGAAGCACAAGAUUCUCAAGCGUUGAGUGAAAUCUAAGCGAUUAUCACUGGAGGAGAGAGGGAGGACAAAUGGAGCUGAAUCUGGAGUAAAACCAAGGGAAAUUCUCACAUUAAAGAUUCACCAAUGAAUCUGCAGACUUUAUGCAAAUCCAGUGGGUAUUUUGUGGAAGUAUUAAUGAGUGUCACAUCCUGAUUACUGCAGAUUUUCCCUUACGUUUCCAGCUGUAGCAAAUCCAACUGAAACUGCUAAAAUCAACAACAGAAGUCCACAACAGUUUGUCAGAAAAAUGUAUGAAAAUUAUUUUUAACGUGUUUUACCCUAAUUAUUCUUGGAAACGUAUCUAGGUGUUAAUUUCAGAUAUCCUAUAUGUGUUCCCUGAUGGAUGACAGAUUUUAUGUUGGUUCCCUUAAAUCUGACAGCAUUUACAUUGGUCCCCUUAAAUCCCUCUAAAGGACCAUCUCCAGGACUGAGGUGUUUUUUGCAUCUCAGUGCAGGGGAAGCCUUGUAAGCUAACUGCCCUGGCACUGCGUCUCCUAUUAGAAAUCUGCUUCUUUACCAACAGCUACUGUGAGCAACCCUUUUUGCCAUGGCAUGUACUGGUCCUUUUGCUUUGCGUGAGCUGCAGCCUGUGACAUAUAAAUUGACUCCAGACACAUCGAUUUAUUUGCUCUCAAAAACUGCAAAGAAUACAAAGUAAAAAAUAAUUCCUGAAAAGCCCUAAAAAACCAGUUAAUUAGUAUGUUCCUGUUUACCGAAGAAUUCUGUUCAAGGUUUUAUAUAUUAAAACAGAGCUAACUUGCCUGUCUCCCUGUGACCUUUUUGUUGUGUGGGCAGCCUGCUCUAGCCUGUCUCCCAGCCCUUAUGGGUUUUGAAUUUGUGAGGUGAUUUCAUGUUCCCUUUGCUCUCUUUUCACUUGGUCUUGCAAAGGCAUUCCGUCUUUAGAACUGGGCUAGGAAAGCCAUUGAAGGUAUCGUCAGUGUACAAAUAUGGGGGGAGAAAUGUUUUCAUGGCUCUGAUAUGAAGACAUCUAAAUAUGAUAGCAGACUGGGAGUUUCAUAUCUUUUGUUUAGCCUGUCUUUAUCUGCCAGCUUACUGUAUGCUGUGAAUAUAAUUCUGAAUGCCUGCAUAUAUGACAAGUCAUAACCAUAAUGAGCCUGUUUAUUUCAAGAUAUGUAGUGGCAUCAUUCAUUUGCACAUUAAAGGAAACUUUGCUGGAAGAAGACAAAUUUGAGCCUACAAAAGCUUUGUGAUGAUUGUAAUGCUAAUCUGUAUUCAAUCCUGUAUGUGAAGUGUCACAUCUUGAAUACUUUAAAAAAUUAAUUAGUCAACUGUGUUGUGGCACAGAUGAGCAGAAGCAAGUGGUUGCUUGCAUCCCCACGCUGUGACAGUCCGAGUGCCAGCAGGGCUGGAAAGCAGAGCAGACCCACGGUAAUGGGCUGGAGGUGCCACCCUCGUACCUGACUGCACCCACCAGGCUGUGGCAUUGGUGUGAUGGUGUUACGUUAAAUGAGGGCAGUUUAAAGUCUGGCGAGGAGCAAUCCUCACAUUCCUUUACAGCUGGUAUUUGUAAAGGUAUCCAACUCUGCAUAUGUAUUUUAGUAAGAAGUGGGUAUAUGCACGCAUAUAAUGUUUGUGACAAAAAUAUCACUGGGAUAUUUUGCAAUCUGGAGAGCAACUGUAAAUGUAAGUAGGUUGAGUAAAAAUAAGUACAACUGUUUAUUUUGCCAUUAGCUAAGAAUGAGAUAUGCAUUUACACACUUUCUUAACAGAAUUGUAUCACCAUAUGCCCCACAGAUUUGCAGAGGAGAAAGUUAUUUUUUUUGCCCUCUUUCUUUUGCCAGAAAUUUCCUAGAAAACUCUAAGUAACUUAAGUUUUUUUCUUUUUUUUUUUCUCCUCGUCCCCUCAGGUAACGGCCUGUAAGUACAGGCAACACAGCCUCAUACCUGGCUCAUGUAGGCCCAUGCUCACCAUAGUUUUGUGCGAAAGUCAAUGCAGUGCUAAAGGUCUGAAUUCAGGUUCCUCUGCCUGCGUGUUAUUCCAGGUACAACAGGCAGAGGCCUUGACCGCCCUGCGGUGACUCCCAGAUGUGGGUCUGGAAAAUGUCAAUAUUUGAUGGGGUGAGCGGCAUUCAGAGAUCCUCUUCUGUGGGGCGAGGUGUAGUUUGUCAUUAAGAGAGUGUUUCUUGCACCAAGUUAUCUACAGUGGCAAGCAAUUGCACUUCCAGGGUUUUCAGAUGUUUUCCUUUGUGUGUUUGCACUUCCUCUUGCACUCUUUUUGAUGAGCACGAUCCCGUCUGUAUUUCCUGGGCCUGUGGCCCUUUAGAGAAAUCAACCUUGUUGCGGUUUUACUGAGGAAAUGAUUUGCAGUAUCAUUUAACACUUCGUGAAGUAAAAAAACCAAACAACAGCAAAAAAUAGAACUAGAAGACAUUUUGAAUUCCCAAUGCAGAAAAAUGUUGUGUUUUCUGAAUGUCACUGAACAAAGAAUUGUAAUUUGCUUGUGAACAACAUCUAAGUGGAUCCAGAUUCCUUUUGAAGGGAAUGUAUAGUGAAGUGUUGAAAGUCAGCCUUUUACUAGUAAUCCUGGUUCAUGAUGAAAUAUUAUUUGCCUUUGUAAUGUAAUUUUUUAUGAAUAGUUAAGCAUUUCAACAAAGUUGUGAAUAUGUAAAAAUAUAGUUUCACAAAAAAAAAAGUUGUGAAUAUGUAAAAUAACGCACAUAAGGCGUUAUUUUGCCUCAAGACUUUUCUGAGACCAUUUCUUCUUCAUAUUUGUAGAUAUAUUAUUAUGUGUUACAUUAAACAUUGUGACAAUCUGAAGAAAUAAAAAUAAAAAAAUAGUGAUAGUUUUAAAAUGA
rnacentral:lncRNA from 1 species